CAGGGGCGGAGUCGUUGAGCGGCCGGGAGGCAGGAAGGGGAGCAUCCGGGCACUUGGCACCAAGAUACAAUGCAGCGCUCCGCUGGGUGCGCUUGGCAGGUCAUGGGGACUGAGAAGGGGCUUGAAGACGGUUCCAGGCCCGGGGUGGCUGACGCUACGUAGGAUGGGCUCCUCCCCUACUUACGCCUGUGGCUGUUCAGGGAGGAGCUGGGCUUGGGUGGGGCUUAGAUGAAAUCACUUCUUGCUGCGCCGCGCCCAGCUGAAGUUACCACCCCUUUCCUGGAGCAGAAAUUUCAUAUGUAAGGCGCCUGUUUUGGGGUGUCAGGCCCUUGAACCCUGAAGGAGACGGCGGGGCUUUACCCGAAGGUGGGGACAAGAAAUUGGGCUCUAGUCUAGCUUCUCGGAUUUCCAGGGGCCUCGGAGAACUUUUAAACGGCUGCCCCAGCUGCAUUUCUCGGGCCCUGUUUCGGAGCAGAAUUGAGUCCCGGCCUGGGAUCCAGGCUCUUCGCUCCGCCCCGCCCUGAGAAGGAUCGUGGCAGGCAGGCGCAGUCUGACCAGAAGCCCGCGGAGGAAAGAGGCUGUCAGCACGAGGGAUAGAACCAUUACGAGCCACCCAGGAGCUGCCUCGUGAGCCUCAUCCCAUCAAGCGCAUCCUACCUUUUCAAGUGGACCCCAAGUCAGGAUCUCAUCAACUUGCUAAAUUGCCCAGGCUGGGCUUGAACUUGCCACUGGUGGUGAAGGUUGGAACAGAAGGAGAUCCAAGAAACAAGAGAAGAUGGUGUAUCCUCAAGUGGAAAGCCCAGGGCAACAAGAACUCAUCCUAGAAGUGAACUCAGGGCUUUUCCUUCUCCUCCCAGGAGUGCUGCAUUUCCUCAGUCAGUGGAUUCUUGGUACUCAACCUCCGCAACACGGCGGAGAUCCGCUUUGCACUCUGCCGGAUCACAAAAACUGAGCUGCGAUACCUGACUCCCCCGACUCUUCCGUUCUUCGCUGCCCUUUAGGUUUCGCGGAGUAUCCAGCAGAGGGCGCUGCCGAGAUGCGGCUGCUGAGGGGCGCAGGUGCAGAGCGGGGCGGGGGAAGUGAAACAAACCUGACCAUGAGGGUAGUUUUACAGUCGCCCCAGAGCUUUCCCGUUGUGGGGUGGCUUCGGGGCCUGGAGAAAUACAGAGGCUUCCAAGACCAGCUGAGAGUCCCUGGGGUUUGGAGAGCAUUUGAACAAGAUUUCUGGGUGGCAUUCCCCAAAGAUUCUAGGUCAGCAGGAACUGGGCGGGCCCGGGGGCCUUUUAAAAGAUGUUCCCCACUGACUCUGAUGGUCGGGAGGCUCAGGACCCUGUGGUGGGGAUUCCCGAGGGCGACACCCGGUGCCCAGCCCCGUUGCUCUUUCGCCCGCUGUGACCUCUCUGUGUGUCCGUGCACCCCCACCAGGACGGAGUUAAUAGAGCGGAAGCUGUGGUGGCAGCCUCCCAUGGUUUCCGCGUAAAGCUGCUGGCCCGUGUUCAAAGCUGGUCGGGCCCUGCGCGGUCGAGGGCAGAGGAAGAUUUCUGGGCCGUGCGUCGGUAUCCAUCCGCUGUGGAGGAGAACUCCGGCCCCUCUAGUGCAGCUGCCUCUGCCUCUCUUCAGUUCCUCACCUUUUCCUGUAGGGGGCAGGGAUGCAGGUGAUUCCGGACUCGGAAGAGGCAGAGGACCUGUCACUGAAGCAGGUCAGUAGGCACCAACCCAGUUGUGAGAAAGGAUUAGUAUAUCAGAGAAGGGUAUGGCUACAGGCUAAGUUGCUGGGGAAAGUGUUCGCGCAUAUAGAUGGAAAGAAAGAGAGUACUUUGGAAAAUGAAAGCCCACUUGGGAGGGCUGUAGUUAGAAAGGGAGAGGCAGUGAGAGAUGAAGAUGGCAUGUAUCAGGUCAUAUAAGACAUUGUAAGCUGUGUGAAGAGUUUCUGUAUUUUAAGCAGUGUGGGCAGAUAUUGAUUUCUUUUUUUUCUGUGUAAAGCAGGGUCUUGCUGUGUAGUUCAGGCUAGGCUUGAACU